CCUACGGGAGGCAGCAGUGGGGAAUAUUGGGCAAUGGGCGCAAGCCUGACCCAGCAACGCCGCGUGAAGGAAGAAGGCUUUCGGGUUGUAAACUUCUUUUCUCAGGGACGAAGCAAGUGACGGUACCUGAGGAAUAAGCCACGGCUAACUACGUGCCAGCAGCCGCGGUAAUACGUAGGUGGCAAGCGUUAUCCGGAUUUACUGGGUGUAAAGGGCGUGUAGGCGGGACUGCAAGUCAGAUGUGAAAACCACGGGCUCAACCUUUGGCCUGCAUUUGAAACUGUAGUUCUUGAGUACUGGGGAGGCAGACGGAAUCCCUAGGUGAGCGGUGAAAUGCGUAGAUAGUAGGAGGAACACCAGUGGCGAGGGCGGUCUGCUGGACAGCAACGGACGCUGGGGCGCGAAAGCGGGGGGAGCAAACAGGAUUAGAGCCCCCAGUAGUC
rnacentral:rRNA from 1 species